GCGUCGGUGGAAGUUACGUAAGUUGCAAACCUCCAUAUAUAACAACACGUGGCCAAGAAAAUUUACGGUACGAUUGUCCCAACCUCUAUACGUACGGUGCACAGUGCUCUCUGUCCUGCAUAGGCGGAUAUCUGCUAGAGGGAGCCACUCAAAUCCGCUGUUUGAAAGAUAGAAACGAUAACCUUGACUGGCUGUGGAAUCAAGACGACAUGCAUCCGAUCUGCAAAGAAACAAAUUGCACAAAACUUCAAGAACCCAGAAACGGUGCAAUGUCAUACAGUCAAUGGACCUAUGGUCAGAUGUGUAUCAUGCAGUGCCAAAAAGGGUAUGACGUUCCUGCAAGCAUCGAUGGACAAUUUGUGUGUGGUACAUCAAAUGGAAAAUGGAGGCCGCAUGAUCACAUCCCAGAGUGUUAUGCGACAGUCUAUCCGCAUAGUAUGCAUCUUCCAUCUGACUUCUACUAUUAUACGGACAAAUGCAAUUCGUCAGCCGAAAAUUUAUUAGAAAUAAAAGAAAACUUCGUUCAAGCCCUAAACACAUCUAAAUAUUUUGAAUACUGCCUUAAUAACCCAGAUUGCCAGGCAAAAUAUGUAAGGGUCUCUUGUGGGCCAACUUCGUCGAAAAGGGAACGAGAUAUCCAUGUUAACCCUAGACCGGAACGUUUAGCGUAUAUUGUUGAGAUUGAUAUAAUAUUGCCCCUGAAUAUUGUAAAUGACGAAACAAAACAGGAAGCUAUUUAAAGAUAUGAGGAAACAUUAAUUGGAAUUUCAAUAAAUAUUAGGAGAGCACCAAUGGAUGGCUUAUUCGAUAUUCCCGGGCUGCGGGUGGAAGAUGUUUCUUUUAAAGUCGGAUUGCCAACAAUACAAUGUCCAACUGGAAUGGUGCCGCGCACGAAGGAAAAUACGUGUGUUGGUUGUCCUGUCGGUCAGUUUAUGUCCAAUAUGACAGACCGAUGUGAAGUCUGCCCCGUUGGCACUUAUCAAAAUAUCCCGAACAGCGUUGUCUGUAAAACAUGUCCGCCAGUGAGUAACACUACCGCCAAUGCGUCUACAAGCAUAACUCAGUGUAGAGCCUAUUGUCCUCCCGAUGAAUAUUCUUCUACCGCAUUGUCGCCAUGUACACAAUGUCCUAGCGACUCCUACCAAGAUUCUGCCAUGUCCAGUACAUGCUUGGCAUGUCCAUCUGGGACACGUACAAUUGCAGAAGGGG